GAUGAACGCUAGCUACAGGCUUAACACAUGCAAGUCGAGGGGAAACGGCAUUGAGUGCUUGCACUCUUUGGACGUCGACCGGCGCACGGGUGAGUAACGCGUAUCCAACCUUCCCAUUACUGUGGGAUGACCUGCCGAAAGGCAGACUAAUACCGCAUAGUCUUCGAUGACGGCAUCAGAUUUGAAGUAAAGAUUUAUCGGUAAUGGAUGGGGAUGCGUCUGAUUAGCUUGUUGGCGGGGUAACGGCCCACCAAGGCUACGAUCAGUAGGGGUUCUGAGAGGAAGGUCCCCCACAUUGGAACUGAGACACGGUCCAAACUCCUACGGGAGGCAGCAGUGAGGAAUAUUGGUCAAUGGACGGAAGUCUGAACCAGCCAAGUAGCGUGCAGGAUGACGGCCCUAUGGGUUGUAAACUGCUUUUGUAUGGGGAUAAAGUUAGGGACGUGUCCCUAUUUGCAGGUACCAUACGAAUAAGGACCGGCUAAUUCCGUG
rnacentral:rRNA from 1 species